UGGGGAAUAUUGCACAAUGGGCGAAAGCCUGAUGCAGCGACGCCGCGUGAGGGAUGACGGCCUUCGGGUUGUAAACCUCUUUCAGCAGGGACGAAGCGCAAGUGACGGUACCUGCAGAAGAAGCACCGGCUAACUACGUGCCAGCAGCCGCGGUAAUACGUAGGGUGCAAGCGUUGUUCGGAAUUACUGGGCGUAAAGAGUUCGUAGGCGGUUUGUCGCGUCGUUUGUGAAAACCAGCAGCUCAACUGCUGGCUUGCAGGCGAUACGGGCAGACUUGAGUACUGCAGGGGAGACUGGAAUUCCUGGUGUAGCGGUGAAAUGCGCAGAUAUCAGGAGGAACACCGGUGGCGAAGGCGGGUCUCUGGGCAGUAACUGACGCUGAGGAACGAAAGCGUGGGUAGCGAACAGG
rnacentral:rRNA from 1 species